UUCCAGGUGGAAGGUUGUAGGCAUGUAUCUUAGGCAAAUCCGGGGUACUCUAUGCUGAGAACUGAUAGCAAGCUGUACUUGUACAGUGAAGUGGCUGAUACCAUGCUUCCAGGAAAAGUCUCUAAGCUUCAGCUACAUAGGAAUCGUACCCGAAACCGACACAGGUGGUCAGGUCGAGUAGACCAAAGCGCUUGAGAGAACUCUGCUGAAGGAACUAGGCAAAAUGGUACCGUAACUUCGGGAGAAGGUACGCUGCCGACGGUGAUAGGAUUUACUCCUUGAGCUAUUGGCAGCCACAGAAACCAGGCCCCUGCAACUGUUUAUUAAAAACAUAGCACUCUGCAAAUACGAAAGUGGACGUAUAGGGUGUGAUGCCUGCCCGGUGCUGGAAGGUUAAUUGAUGGGGUUAGCGUAAGCGAAGCUCUUGAUCGAAGCCCCAGUAAACGGCGGCCGUAACGAUAACGGUCCUAAGGUAGCGAAAUUCCUUGUCGGGUAAGUUCCGACCUGCACGAAUGGCAUAAUGAUGGGGGCGCUGUCUCCAGCAGAGACUCAGUGAAAUCGAAUUCGCCGUGAAGAUGCGGUGUACCCGCGGCUAGACGGAAAGACCCCGUGAACCUUUACUGCAGCUUGACACUGAACUUUGAUCUUACUUGUGUAGGAUAGGUGGAGGCUUUGAAACCGAGACGCUAGUUUCGGUGGAGCCAAUCUUGAAAUACCACCCUGGUAAUAUUGAGGUUCUAACUCUGUCCCGUUAUCCGGGACGAGGACCAUGUCUGGUGGGUAGUUUGACUGGGGCGGUCUCCUCCUAAAGAGUAGCGGAGGAGUACGAAGGUGCGCUCAGCGUGGUCGGAAAUCACGCGUAGAGUAUAAAGGCAAAAGCGCGCUUAACUGCGAGACCCACAAGUCGAGCAGGUACGAAAGUAGGUCUUAGUGAUCCGGUGGUUCUGUAUGGAAGGGCCAUCGCUCAACGGAUAAAAGGUACUCUGGGGAUAACAGGCUGAUACCGCCCAAGAGUUCAUAUCGACGGCGGUGUUUGGCACCUCGAUGUCGGCUCAUCUCAUCCUGGGGCUGAAGCAGGUCCCAAGGGUAUGGCUGUUCGCCAUUUAAAGAGGUACGCGAGCUGGGUUUAGAACGUCGUGAGACAGUUCGGUCCCUAUCUACCGUGGGCGUUGGAAAUUUGAGAGGAUCUGCUCCUAGUACGAGAGGACCAGAGUGGACGAACCUCUGGUGUACCGGUUGUGACGCCAGUCGCAUCGCCGGGUAGCUAUGUUCGGAAGGGAUAACCGCUGAAAGCAUCUAAGCGGGAAGCCUACCUCAAGAUAAGAUUUCCCUAGGACUUUAUGUCCUCUAAAGAGCCGUUGAAGACUACGACGUUGAUAGGUUGGAUGUGGAAGCAUAGUGAUAUGUGAAGCUGACCAAUACUAAUUGCUCGUGAGGCUUGACUC
rnacentral:rRNA from 1 species